CCUACGGGUGGCAGCAGUAGGGAAUAUUUCUCAAUGGGGGAAACCCUGAAGCAGCAACGCCGCGUGGAGGAUGGAGGUUUUAGGAUUGUAAACUCCUUUUGUUAUAGAAGAUAAUUACGGUAUCUCACGAAUAAGCCCCGGCUAACUCCGUGCCAGCAGCCGCGGUAAUACGGAGGUGGCAAGCGUUACCCGGAAUCGCAGGGCGUAAAGAGAGCGCAGGCGGGCUUGUAAGUCAGAUGUGAAAGCCUGUAGCUUAACUACAGAACUGCAUUUGAAACUAUGAGUCUAGAGUGUGGGAGAGGUAGGUGGAAUUCUUGGUGGAGGAGUAAAAUCCGUAGAUAUCAAGAGGAAUACUCAGUGCGAAGGCGACUUACUGGAACAUAACUGACGCUCAUGCACGAAAGCGAGGGGAGCAAACAGGAUUAGAUACCCCGGUAGUC
rnacentral:rRNA from 1 species